rnacentral:rRNA from 1 species
UACGGAGGGUGCAAGCGUUAAUCGGAAUUACUGGGCGUAAAGCGCACGCAGGUGGCUGAGUCAGUCGAUUGUGAAAGCCCUGGGCUUAACCUGGGAAUUGCAGUCGAUACUACUCAGCUAGAGUAUGGGAGAGGGUAGUGGAAUUCCCGGUGUAGCGGUGAAAUGCGUAGAUAUCGGGAGGAACAUCAGUGGCGAAGGCGGCUACCUGGCCCAAUACUGACACUCAGGUGCGACAGCGUGGGGAUCAAACAGG